rnacentral:lncRNA from 1 species
AGCAGGGUUUAGGGUUAGGUUGGGUUUAAGGUUAGAAAGGGUUUAGGGUUAGGCAGGGUUUAGGGUUAGAAAGGGUUUAGGGUUAAAAAGGGUUUAGGGUUAGGUAGGGUUUAGGGUUAGGUAGGGUUUAAGGUUAGUAGGGUUUAGGGUUAGGUAGGGUUUAGAAUUAGGUAGGGUUUAGGGUUAGGAAGGAUUUAGAAUUAGGCAGGUUUUAGGGUUAGGUAGGGUUUAGGAUUAGUAGGGUUUAGGGUUAGGUAGGGUAGAAUUAGGUAGGGUUUAGGAUUAGUAGGGUUUAGGGUUAGGCAGGUUUUAGGGUUAGGUAGGGUUUACGGUUAGGUAGGGUUUAGGAUUAGUAGGGUUUAGGGUUAGGUAGGGUUUAGAAUUAGGUAGGGUUUAAGGUUAGGCAGGGUUUAAGGUUAGGCAGAGUUUAGGGUUAGGCAGGGUUUAGGGUUAGGUAGGGUUUAGUGUUAGAAAUGGUUUAGGGUUAGAAAGGGUUUAAGGUUAGGUUUAGGCAUGGUUUAGGUUAGCAGGGUUUAGGGUUCGGUUGGGUUUAGGGUUAGAAAGGGUUUAGGGUUAGGUAGAUUUUAGGGUUAGGCAGGGUUUAGGGUUAAAAAGGGUUUAGGGUUAGGUAGGGUUAGGUAGGGUUUAAGGUUAGGUAGGGUUUAGGGUAGGUAGGGUUUAGGGUUAGGUAGAGUUAGCGGUAGGUAAGGUUUAGGGUUAGGCAGGGUUUAGGGUUAGGCAGGGUUUAGUGUUAGAAAUGGUUUAGGGUUAGAAAGGGUUUAAGGUUAGGUUUAGGCAUGGUUUAGGUUAGCAGGGUUUAGGGUUCGGUUGGGUUUAGGGUUAGAAAGGGUUUAGGGUUAGGUAGAUUUUAGGGUUAGGCAGGGUUUAGGGUUCGGCAGGGUUUAGAGGUAGUAGGGUUUAGGGUUAGAAAGGGUUUAAGGUUAGGUAGGGUUUAGGGUAGGUAGGGUUUAGGGUUAGGUAGAGUUAGCGGUAGGUAAGGUUUAGGGUUAGGCAGGGUUUAGGGUUAGGCAGGGUUUAGUGUUAGAAAUGGUUUAGGGUUAGAAAGGGUUUAAGGUUAGGUUUAGGCAUGGUUUAGGUUAGCAGGGUUUAGGGUUCGGUUGGGUUUAGGGUUAGAAAGGGUUUAGGGUUAGGUAGAGUUUAGGGUUAGGCAGGGUUUAGGGUUAAAAAGGGUUUAGGGUUAGGUAGGGUUAGGUAGGGUUUAAGGUUAGGUAGGGUUUAGGGUUAGGUAAGGUUUAGAAUUAGGUAGGGUUUAGGGUUAGGAAGGAUUUAGAAUUAGGCAGGUUUUAGGGUUAGGCAGGUUUUAGGGUUAGGUAGGGUUUAGGGUUAGGUACGGUUUAGGAUUAGUAGGGUUUAGGGUUAGGUAGGGUUUAGAAUUAGGUAGGGUUUAAGGUUAGGCAGGGUUUAAGGUUAGGCAGAGUUUAGGGUUAGGCAGGGUUUAGGGUUAGAAAGGGUUUAGGGUUAGGCAGGGUUUAGGGUUAGAAAGGGUUUAGGGUUAGAUAGGGUUUAGGGUUAGGUAGGGUUUAGGGUUAGGUAGGGUUUAGGGUUAGAAAGGGUUUAAGGUUAGGUAGGGUUUAGGGUAGGUAGUGUUUAGGGUUAGGUAGAGUUAGCGGUAGGUAAGGUUUAGGAUUAGGUAGGGUUUAGAGUUUGGUAGGGUUUAAGGUUAGUAGGGUUUAGGGUUAGGCAAGGUUUAAAAUUAGGUAGGGUUAGGGUUAGGCAGGGUUAAGGGUUAGGCAGGGUUUAGGGUUAGGCAGGGUUUAGGGUUAGAAAGGGUUUAGAGUUAGAAAGGGUUUAGGGUUAGAAAGGGUUUAAGGUUAGGUUUAGGCAUGGUUUAGGUUAGCAGGGUUUAGGGUUCGGUUGGGUUUAGGGUUAGAAAGGGUUUAGGGUUAGGUAGGGUUUAGGGUUAGGCAGGGUUUAGGGUUAGGCAGGGUUUAGGGUUCGGCAGGGUUUAGAGGUAGUAGGGUUUAGGGUUAGAUAGGGUUUUAGGUUAGGCAGGGUUUAGGUUAGGUAGGGUUUAGGGUUAGGCAGGGUUUAGGGUUAGUAGGGUUUAGAAUUAGGUAGGGUUUAGGGUUAGGCACAGUUUAGGGUUAGACAGGGUUUAGGGUUAGUAGGGUUUAGGGUUAGGAAGGGUUUAGGGUUAGGUAGGGUUUAGGGUUAGAAAGGGUUUAGGGUUAGGUAGGGUUUAUGGUAGGUAGGGUUUAGGGUUAGGUAGGGUGAAGGGUAGGUAGGGUUUAGGGUUAGGUAGGGUUUAGGGUUAGUAGGGUUUAGAAUUAGGUAGGAUUUAGGGUUAGGUAGGGUUUAGGGUGAGGUAGGGUUUAGGGUUAGUAGGGUUUAGGGUUAGAAAGGAGGUUUAGGGUUAGGUAGAGUUUAGAAUUAGGUAGGGUUUAGGGUUAGGUAGAGUUUAGAAUUAGGUAGGGUUUAGGGUUAGGUAGAGUUUAGAAUUAGGUAGGGUUUAGGGUUAGGUAGAGUUUAGAAUUAGGUAGGGUUUAGGGUUAGUAUGGUUUAGGUUUAGGUAGGGUUUAGGGCUAGAUAGGAUUUAGGUUUAGAAAGGUUUUAGGGUUAGGUAGGGUUUAGGUUAGGUAGGGUUUAGGGUUAGUAGGGUUUAGGGUUAGGUAGGGUUUAGGGCUAGAUAUGAUCUAGGUUUAGAAAGGUUUUAGGGUUAGGUAGGGUUUAGGUUAGGUAGGGUUUAGGGUUAGUAGGGUUUAGGGUUAGGUAGGGUUUAGGGCUAGAUAUGAUCUAGGUUUAGAAAGGUUUUAGGGUUAGGUAGGGUUUAGGUUAGGUAGGGUUUAGGGUUAGUAGGGUUUAGGGUUAGGUAGGGUUUAGGGCUAGAUAUGAUCUAGGUUUAGAAAGGUUUUAGGGUUAGGUAGGGUUUAGGUUAGGUAGAGUUUAGUGUUAAGUAGGGUUUAGGGUUAGUAGGAUUUAGGGUUAGGUAGGGUUUAGGGUUAGUAUGGUUUAGGGUUAGGUUUUAGGGUUAGGUAAGGUUUAGUGUUAGGUAGGGUUUAGGGUUAAAUAGGGUUUAGGGUUAGGUAGGGUUUACGGUUAGAUAUGCUUAGGUAGUAGGAAGGGUUUAGGGAUUAGGGUUAGGUUUAUGUAGGGUUUAGGGUUAGAUAUGGUUAAGGUCUAGGUUUAGGUAGGGUUUAGGGUUAGGUAGAAUUUAAAGUUUAGGUAGUAGGAAAGGUUUAGCAUUAGUUUAGGUUGGGUUUAGGGUUUGGUUUAGAAUAAUGUUUAGGAUUAUAGGAUUUAAGUUUGUUUAUUUUUUUGUUUAUGCAUUUAAUGCUGAGUCUUUCGGAUAAAGUUUUUUAU